rnacentral:rRNA from 1 species
GACGAACGCUGGCGGCGUGCUUAACACAUGCAAGUCGAACGGAAAGGCCCUGCUUUUGUGGGGUGCUCGAGUGGCGAACGGGUGAGUAACACGUGAGUAACCUGCCCUUGACUUUGGGAUAACUUCAGGAAACUGGGGCUAAUACCGGAUAGGAGCUCCUGCUGCAUGGUGGGGGUUGGAAAGUUUCGGCGGGUGGGGAUGGACUCGCGGCUUAUCAGCUUGUUGGUGGGGUAGUGGCUUACCAAGGCUUUGACGGGUAGCCGGCCGGAGAGGGUGACCGGCCCCAUUGGGACUGGCCUCCGCCCCAGACUCCUACGGGCGGCAGCUGUGGGGAAUAUUGCACAAUGGGCGGAAGCCUGAUGCAGCAACGCCGCGUGCGUGAUGACGGCCUUCGGGUUGUAAACCGCUUUCGCCUGUGACGAAGCGUGAGUGACGUUCAUGGGUAAAGAAGCACCGGCUAACUACGUG